CGCACAUUGCGCCCACCAGUAUUCUGGUGGGCAUGCCUGUUCGAGCGUCAUUUCAACCCUUAAGCCCCUGUUGCUUAGCGUUGGGAGCCUACCGGCCUUGCCCCCGUAGCUCCCCAAAGUGAGUGGCGGAGCCGGUUCAAACACUCCAGACGUAGUAGCUUUUACACAUCGCCUGCGGGACUGGACCGGCCCCCUGCCGUAAAACCCCCCCCUCAAUUCUUCCACAAGGUUGACCUCGGAUCAGGUAGGAAUACCCGCUGAACUUAA
rnacentral:misc_RNA from 1 species